rnacentral:tRNA from 1 species
ACCUGGCUGUCUCAGCUGGCAGAGUGUGAGACUCUUGAUCUCCAGAUUGUGAGUUUGAGCCCCACACUGGGUG